rnacentral:rRNA from 1 species
UACGUAGGGGGCAAGCGUUGUCCGGAAUCAUUGGGCGUAAAGAGCGUGUAGGCGGUUCGGUAAGUCGGCUGUGAAAGUCCAGGGCUCAACCCUGGGAUGCCGGUCGAUACUGCCGGACUAGAGUUCGGAAGAGGCGAGUGGAAUUCCCGGUGUAGCGGUGAAAUGCGCAGAUAUCGGGAGGAACACCUAUGGCGAAGGCAGCUCGCUGGGACGUUACUGACGCUGAGACGCGAAAGCGUGGGGAGCGAACCGG